GAGAACAACGUACAAACCUUAUCGAUAAACAAUUGGAGGGCAAGUCUGGUGCCAGUAGCCGCGCUAAUUCCAGCUCCAAUAGCGCAUAUUAACGUUGUUGCAGUUAAAAAGCUCGUAGUUGAAAUGAAGGGUAGUUGUGUAGUGAAUACAUUCGUGUAUUUUGUUAUUCUACUACCCUCCUUCUAAAUUCGAUAUAUGAGUAUUAAUUUACUUGUAUAUGGUUUUAGACUUUUACUGUGAGAAAAUUAGAGUGUUCAAAGCAGGCAUUUGCUUGAAUAUAUUAGCAUGGAAUAAUCAUGUAUGAUUUUCAUGAUGUAUUUGAUUGGUUUGGUUCAUGAGAAUAAGAUUAAAAGGGACAGUUGGGGGUAUUCAUAUUCAAUAGUCAGAGGUGAAAUUCUCGGAUUUAUGGAAGAUGAACAAGUGCGAAAGCUUUACCAAGGAUGUUUUCAUUAAUCAAGAACGAAAGUUAGGGGAUCGAAGAGGAUUAGAUACCCUCGUAGUCUUAAAUAUA
rnacentral:rRNA from 1 species